UUCCACCAAGCCCAGAGUUUUGUUCUGAAUGGGGUACGUCUACACUGCACGAUUAUUUCGAAUUAGCUUAAACCGUAUUACACAACAGAUCUAAUAAAAAUCGUUUUAGCGCGUCA